rnacentral:rRNA from 1 species
UACGUAGGUGGCAAGCGUUGUCCGGAUUUACUGGGCGUAAAGAGCGCGCAGGCGGCUGGGCAAGUCCGAUGUGAAAGCUUCCGGCUUAACUGGAAAAUUGCAUCGGAAGCUGCUCGGCUUGAAGGUGGGAGAGGGUAGCGGAAUUCCCGGUGUAGUGGUGAAAUGCGUAGAGAUCGGCAGGAACACCCAGGGGGAAACCAGUCGACUGGGCAUCUACUGACGCUGAGGUGCGAGAGCGUGGGGAGCGAACCGG